rnacentral:rRNA from 1 species
UAGUGGCGCACGGGUGAGUAAUGCAUAGGUAACAUCCCCUUUAGUCUGGGAUAGCCACUGGAAACGGUGAUUAAUACUAGAUACUCCCUACGGGGGAAAGUUUUUCGCUAAAGGAUUGGCCUAUGUCCUAUCAGCUUGUUGGUGAGGUAAUGGCUCACCAAGGCUAUGACGGGUAUCCGGCCUGAGAGGGUGAUCGGACACACUGGAACUGAGACACGGUCCAGACUCCUACGGGAGGCAGCAGUAGGGAAUAUUGCUCAAUGGGGGAAACCCUGAAGCAGCAACGCCGCGUGGAGGAUGAAGGUUUUAGGAUUGUAAACUCCUUUUGUUAGAGAAG